ensembl:lncRNA
GUCGAAUGAGUCUAAAUUAGCACAGUCAACAGCAAAGUGCUCUACUGUUACAUUGUGGCUUUGUAAUGACAGACCACGGACAGCAAAAGUAAGGGAGGCAGAGUGCCACAUUUUAAAUCUGGAUACGAAAUAUCAUUAAAAAAAGAUAUGCCCUGAGAUUCCCAUUUUCCCUUGUUAUAACUGUCUCUGAAAUGGUGGGCCGGAUGCCCUCACUAGAAAUAACCAAAAACAAUCUCAACUCAGCAUGCAUGCAAAAUACUAGCCUAACCUUCAAAAGGUGCAAAGUCUGUCGACCUGAAAAAACAAGCCACAACGUCUCUGUGACAUCUUUGAUACCCAUAAUAAUCAUGCAGCCUGCGUCUUUGAAACACAUUCAAAUGUUUCAUAUUCUCUAUGUCAGAGGAUUAGAAUAGUUGAAGUAAUCCUCAACGUUCAGACUAUUAGUUUUCCAAUAACUUUGAUCCAAACUUGCUGAUGUUGCUAUUAUUGCUGUUAGAAACCAGGUCAGCCAUUAGUCAUACAUUCAUGUAUUUAUGACUAUAACUAUGUAACUAUUAGGUUACCGUGUCGUAAUUAAACAGUCACAGGAGUUCCCAAAAUUAGCUUAGAGUCUUUUAGGGUCCAAGUUUUUACUGUUUUGUUUUGACCACAGUGUUGCCUCAAUGAAGUCAUUCUAUAACUAUUUAAGUUAGUUGGGCAAGUGGUUUAAAUUCACCAAAUAUCUGACAAUACUUGACAGUCAUAUUGUUUUUUGUGAUCUACAUCAUACUCUAGUGUGGUCUUAUAUUCCUCCAUCCAUAUCCCCCUUUCAUUUUGUUGGACUUAUUUUUGUCUUUUUGGACUGAAUCGUCUUAAUCAAAACUGGGGCUUUAUUUUAUUUUAGAGUUAGCUCAUUUAAUCGUAGAGUGAUUCUCUGUCUCACUCGUUCUAUCUCACCAUCUCUCCCUCUACCACUCUCUCAACUUCUAUCUCAGAUUAUGACCUGCGCCAGGUCGCAGGUCAUAAUCAGUGGUUCAUUGGUUCUUUAAGUCUAAUCUGUUCAAAGGCGUUGUGAAACACACAUGCCAUUGUCUCUGCUGUAAUGGAGCUAAUAAAUAUCUCGUGACAGACCAUUAAAAGGCUUUUCAAAUGCUAAAAACCUUGGUGAAUCUCUCGACUUCUUAAGCACCACAGUCACAGAUGUGUGUUUGUGUCUGAACGGCCACAUAUAGAAUCAGGAACCAAUCUUGUGUUUGUUGGAUUAUUGUUGGAGCCAUGUUGUUUUUGCUAUACUUUUUCUUUGUGUUGUAAUUACACGUCAGUGUUGUGUCACUGGCGGGUCCGUAGCCUUUCCUAGAAGCAGAGCUGAGUGUUUUGUCUGGGUAAACUGCGUACCACCAGAUUAUUUACGACCUUUGACCACUAAUACCUCCCCUUGUGUGUUAAGAGAAACACUCUCCAUCAGUCUUACAUCAAAAGUAACGCUGCCAUCGCCUGCCAUUGUUAACUUAACCUAUGUUGUAAAGAGAUGCAGGAGAUUGUGUUGUGUGUUCACGUCUGUGUGUGAGUGUGUAUGUGACUGUAUGUGAGUGUGUAUGCGACUGUAUGUGAGUGUGUACGUGACUGUAUGUGAGUGUGUAUGUGUAGGUACUUAUAGUAUAGUCGUCCUAGCCAGGGAUCUGACACAUCACAAUCCCAGUCUGUUUUUCCUCAUUCAAUGUUUAAUUAUACUUAAGGUCAGAAGCCUCUUUUAGGGUCACAGCAAACUGAGCAAAGCACUUUAAUGUUGUUAGUUCCUCACAACUUGAAUUUCAAACAUUUGCAAUUCUAUUUUUAAUGACAGAUGAGAGUUAUUGUAUAUGUUGCAUUUGAUAAAGAUCUGUAUGAGUAUGAGUGGAGUGGAGUGAAGAUGAUAUCAUGCGCACUUGUGCAUAUUAUAUAUUAUUAGCGGUACUAUGUAAGAAAAGUAAUAUAUUUAAGUUAUCUUUGUAUGUUUAUUGAUGUAUGUCACCAAAGACACUAUUUAUCUCGUAUUUUCCAUGCUCCUAAAAGGUGACCUUUUGUUAGGAAAGAAAAAUAAAUCCUAAAUGUUGAUGUCAGACAAUGUCUUUCAUUCUCUGUAAAAAUAAAGAACUACAUUGUAGUGAGAUA